rnacentral:rRNA from 1 species
UACAGAGGUCUCAAGCGUUGUUCGGAUUCAUUGGGCGUAAAGGGUGCGUAGGCGGGCAUUUAAGUCAGUGGUGAAAUACCUGAGCUUAACUUGGGAACUGCCAUUGAUACUAUUUGUCUUGAAUGUCGUGGAGGUUAGCGGAAUAUGUCAUGUAGCGGUGAAAUGCUUAGAUAUGACAUAGAACACCUAUUGCGAAGGCAGCUAACUACGCGAAUAUUGACGCUGAGGCACGAAAGCGUGGGGAUCAAACAGG